UACGAGUGCCCCGAGCGUUAUCCGGAAUUAUUGGGCGUAAAGGGUGUGUAGGCGGUUUUGUUAGUCUUGUGUUAAAGCUCUCGGCUCAACCGAGGAAAUGCCUUUGAUACUGUUAAGCUUGAAUUAUGUUGAAGAUGGCGGAAUGAGACAAGUAGCGGUGAAAUGCAUAGAUAUGUCUCAGAACACCGAUUGCGAAGGCAGCUGUCUAAACAUGGAUUGACACUGAUGCGCGAAAGCGUGGGGAUCAAACAGG
rnacentral:rRNA from 1 species